GUGCUCGCUUCAGCAGCAUGUAUACUACAAUUGGACCAAUACAGAAAAGGUUAGCAUGGCCCCUGUGUAAGGAUGGCAUGCAAAUUCGUGAAGCGUUCCAUAUUUAU
ensembl:snRNA U6 U6 spliceosomal RNA